rnacentral:rRNA from 1 species
UGGGGAAUUUUGGACAAUGGGCGAAAGCCUGAUCCAGCAAUGCCGCGUGUGUGAAGAAGGCCUUCGGGUUGUAAAGCACUUUUGUCCGGAAAGAAAUCCUUGGCUCUAAUACAGUCGGGGGAUGACGGUACCGGAAGAAUAAGCACCGGCUAACUACGUGCCAGCAGCCGCGGUAAUACGUAGGGUGCAAGCGUUAAUCGGAAUUACUGGGCGUAAAGCGUGCGCAGGCGGUUUGCUAAGACCGAUGUGAAAUCCCCGGGCUCAACCUGGGGGACUGCAUUGGUGACUGGCAGGCUAGAGUAUGGCAGAGGGGGGUAGAAUUCCACGUGUAGCAGUGAAAUGCGUAGAGAUGUGGAGGAAUACCGAUGGCGAAGGCAGCCCCCUGGGCCAAAUACUGACGCUCAUGCACGAAAAGCGUGGGGAGCAAAACAGGAUUAGAUACCCUGGUAGUCCACGCCCUAAAACGAUGUCAACUAGUUGUUGGGGAUUCAUUUCCUUAGUAACGUAGCUAACGCGUGAAGUUGACCGCCUGGGGAGUACGGUCGCAAAGAUUAAAAACUCAAAUGAAUUGACGGGGUCAUAGCUGUUUCCU